rnacentral:rRNA from 1 species
AUUGAACGCUGGCGGCAGGCCUAACACAUGCAAGUCGAGCGGAUGAAGGGAGCUUGCUCCUGGAUUCAGCGGCGGACGGGUGAGUAAUGCCUAGGAAUCUGCCUGGUAGUGGGGGAUAACGUCCGGAAACGGGCGCUAAUACCGCAUACGUCCUGAGGGAGAAAGUGGGGGCUCUUCGGACCUCACGCUAUCAGAUGAGCCUAGGUCGGAUUAGCUAGUUGGUGGGGUAAAGGCCUACCAAGGCGACGAUCCGUAACUGGUCUGAGAGGAUGAUCAGUCACACUGGAACUGAGACACGGUCCAGACCCCUACGGGAGGCAGCAGUGGGGAAUAUUGGACAAUGGGCGAAAGCCUGAUCCAGCCAUGCCGCGUGUGUGAAGAAGGUCUUCGGAUUGUAAAGCACUUUAAGUUGGGAGGAAGGGCAGUAAGUUAAUACCUUGCUGUUUUGACGUUACCAACAGAAUAAGCACCGGCUAACUUCGUG